GAUGAACGCUGGCGGCGUGCCUAAUACAUGCAAGUCGAGCGAACGGACGAGAAGCUUGCUUUUCUGAUGUUAGCGGCGGACGGGUGAGUAACACGUGGAUAACCUACCUAUAAGACUGGGAUAACUUCGGGAAACCGGAGCUAAUACCGGAUAAUAUAUUGAACCGCAUGGUUCAAAAGUGAAAGACGGUCUUGCUGUCACUUAUAGAUGGAUCCGCGCUGCAUUAGCUAGUUGGUAAGGUAACGGCUUACCAAGGCAACGAUGCGUAGCCGACCUGAGAGGGUGAUCGGCCACACUGGAACUGAGACACGGUCCAGACUCCUACGGGAGGCAGCAGUAGGGAAUCUUCCGCAAUGGGCGAAAGCCUGACGGAGCAACGCCGCGUGAGUGAUGAAGGUCUUCGGAUCGUAAAACUCUGUUAUUAGGGAAGAACAUAUGUGUAAGUAACUGUGCACAUCUUGACGGUACCUAAUCAGAAAGCCACGGCUAACUACGUG
rnacentral:rRNA from 1 species